GGUAAAGCUAACGUAGCCGACUUUGACAGAAAGUUCGGUGAAAGCCCUAGCUUUUCACAGUCAUCAUGCCCACCGAUGACGACGAGUUUUCUCCGACCGAUGAACCCUUAUCUCCGACGCCGAGUCCCGAUCUCGACAUCACCGUUAUCGAAGAAGGUUCUGAUGAAAGUGAGCAGAUUGGUGAGGGUGAUAUCAUAGCAAUGAAUUGGACCACAAACAACUUUUUGGGAUUGAAGAAAGCAAUGAUCUUGAUGUUCUGGAUUUAGAAGGUAAUGAUCUAGAGAAUGGAAAUGAACAUGUUCUUGAUUUAGAAAGCAAUGAUCAUCUGGAAUGUAGAAAAAUAGAUGGUUAGAAGGGAUUCAAUGUGAUGAAUCUGGAUCAACAGCUAGUUUGAAUCUUGAACACAGCAUUUGUAAUGGGACUGUUUACCCUCCAUUGGUAGGAAUGGAGUUCGAUUCUUACGAUGAUGCUUAUAACUAUUAUAACAGCUACGGAAAAGAUCUCGGAUUUGCCAUACGGGUAAAGUCGUCAUGGACAAGCGAAACAGCAAAGAGAAACGUGGCGCGGUCUGUGCUGUAACUGUGAGGGAUUUAAGAUGAUGAAGGAAGCAAAUAGCAGAAGAAAAGAGACAAGAACAGGUUGUUUGGCAAUGUUAAGAUUGAUGGCUGGUCGAAUCAAACAAAUGAGAGUUGAUGAAGUUAAACUCGAGCACAACCACUUAUUCGAUCCUGAAAGAGCUCAACAAUCCAAGUCGCAAAAGAAAAUGGACCUAACCGGAGUCAAGAGGCUAUUGGAGUCUCCUCCUGAUAUAGAAGUUCGUACAUUAAGCUGUAUAGAACCCUAACCCACCAGGUUUCAAUUGAUUCAUCGAGCGAAAGAGAAAUUGGCGACAAUUCUUCCAAAUGCUUGAAACUCCAAACCGGGGAUUUGCAAGUUAUGAACGACUUCUUUCGUCGUAAACAGCUGACAAAUCCAAACUUUUUCUAUUCGAUGGAUUUUAGCGACGAGGGGCAUUUAAGGAAUGUGUUUUGGAUUGAUUCAAGAUCAAGGGCAGCUUAUUCGCAUUUCGGUGAUGUGAUUGCAUUUGACACAACAUGUCUUUCAAACCGGUAUAAGGUUCCUGUCUUCACGUUUCUCGGAAUCAAUCAUCAUGGGCAAUCUAUAAUUCUAGGUUGCGGUUUACUUUCGGAUGAAACAUCGGAAUCUUACGUUUGGUUACUAAGGGCGUGGCUUACAUGUAUGUUGGGGCGUCCACCUCAAACGAUUGUCACCGGUCAAUGCAAUUCCUUACAAAACGCGAUAUCCGAGGUAUUUCCUAGGGCUCAGCAUCGCGUUUGCUCCUCGCAUGUCGUGAAAAUAAUACUCGCAAGUUUAAGCGAGCUCAAUAUAGAGAAAUACGAGUUAUUUCAACAAACAUUGUCAGAAAACGUGUAUAACACAAAUAAAAUUGACGAUUUCGAGAUGGCUUGGAAGAGAUGAUCCGGCGGUUCGGGCUUAUGGAUGUCGAAUGGCUACAAUCUUUAUACGAAGAUCGAGACGUUGGGCUCGGUUUAUUCAAAAGACGCGUUUCUUGCAGGAACUUUUGUUCCUCAGCCCUGCAAGGUUUUGAAAUCGCCUUUCGAAGGGUACUUACAAGAACAAACUCAAUUAAAAGAAUUCUUCUAUUCAUACGAACUGAUUUUACAACAACAGAUCCGGAAGGAAUCCAUCGACGACUCUACAUCGAGAGAGUUCAAUCCGACGCUGAAAACGAGAUGUACCUAUGAGCUCCAGUUAUCGAAAGUCUACACGAAAGAAAUAUUCUCCAAGUUCCAAGUAGAGGUCGACAUGAUGUCAUCGUGUUUAAGCGUAACUCAGUCUCACACUGUCGGGCAUGUUCAUCACUUACGCCAUAAAAGAACGCGAAGAUGACGAAGAUAACGAUGUAUCAACAAACCAUAGGUUAUUUCGGAAUUUUGGAGGUUACGUUCGAUAAAUCCGCAAUAGAAGUCCGUUGUGUUUGCAAUUGCUUCAGUCUCGAAGGGUACCUAUGUCGACACGCAUUAUGUGUUCUUAGCUAUCAUGGGAUGGAUGAAAUCCCACCUCAUUACAUAUUGCCUAGAUGGAGGAAGGAUUUCAAGCGGAUAUAUGUUUCCCGAUGUUGGGGCCUGACUGUAUCGACCACUCUAAUGCGGUUCAGUGGUUCGACCAUCUGCAUCGACGAGCCAUGCAGGUUGUGGGAGAAGGUACGACGUCUCAAGAUCAUUAUAUGGUUGCUUGGCACGCGUUUAAGGAGUCUCUGAAUAAAGUUCGUCUUGCUGCUGAGAAACGUGUAUAGAAAAAGGUAAUUCAUUUUGUAUGUCCAUUUCAUUUUGGUACAUAAAUCCCAAUAGAAAGAUUCUU